rnacentral:rRNA from 1 species
GACAGAGGAUGCAAGCGUUAUCCGGAAUGAUUGGGCGUAAAGCGUCUGUAGGUUGUUUAAAAGUAUUCUGUCAAAGAUUAGGGCUUAACCCUAGAUAGGCAGAAUAAACUUUUAAGCUAGAGUUUGGUAGAGGCAGAGGGAAUUCCCGGUGGAGCGGUGAAAUGCGUAGAUAUCGGGAGGAACACCAAAGGCGAAGGCACUCUGCUGGGCCAAUACUAACACUGAGAGACGAAAGCGAGGGGAGCAAAUGGG